ACGGAGGAUCCGAGCGUUAUCCGGAUUUAUUGGGUUUAAAGGGUGCGCAGGCGGGAUGUUAAGUCGGCGGUGAAAUUUUGCAGCUCAACUGUAAAAGUGCCUUCGAUACUGGCUUUCUUGAGUGUGGAUGAAGUAGGCGGAAUUUGUGGUGUAGCGGUGAAAUGCGUAGAGAUCUCGAGGAACUCCGAUGGCGCAGGCAGCCUCCUGGACCACUACUGACGCUCAUGCGCGAAAGCGUGGGGAGCAAACAG
rnacentral:rRNA from 1 species